rnacentral:lncRNA from 1 species
GGUGCAUGUCCACUGCAGGAACCUCUUCCUGCUCCGUGGGUGGUUAAAGCGAGAAUACGGGCAGUGAUCAAACUUCAAACGUCAUAAUUAAAGAUACCUUGCCCAAUGCAAGUACCUUUUUCUAGGAGGUUUAAGAACUUGUAUAAGCACCUGUAUUCUCUGCAAUGCAAAAUUCCAACCCUACAGGUUUGUGCCCUAUGUUCUGCUCUCAUUAUACUACAAUAAGAAUAUUAUUCAAAUUGUUCACCACGAUGUCCUAUAUUUCGAUGCAUGCAGGUUUUCCACUGGGAGAACAAGUUUCUAGAUACCACAAUAAGAAUACUCAUUUUCUUGUUCUCUGUUUUUCAUUGCAAUUUUUUGUUGUGCAAUAUGAGUUGAUAUGAAUCAAACAUCCCAAAUAUUAUUGUUGACUAAUUUUUUAAUUACCUCCCUUCCAAGCAGCCCUUGAACAAUGAACAAGGAAAUUUCGGAGUCCUUGUUUCACUGCCUCCGAGGACGUGGGAGCCACCACCACCGUUGCUUACUUCCACAACUAAAAGUCCUAGGUAUCUGUUCUCGCUCCCUAUAAGUUGCCGUUUUCAUAUCAUGAUUAUGUUUUCCAAUAAGAUUGGCAGAAAAAGAUUAUCGUUUGCAAUGUUUUUUCAAGGAAAAGCUCCCUCGAGGGACAUUUCUUGUGAGCAACAUAUUACAUUUGAGUACAUGUCACUGCUAAAAACAUGAUUGAAUGGGCAAGAAACAUCACAAUAAUUCAUACAAGAAAUAGAGAAGGAUAUGGAAGAAAGUGUUCCUAGCUAAGUUGUGCGCUUUCUUGUAUUGAUUUCCAAAAAUACGUCUGAAGAUAGCAUCGCUCAUGUAUCCCUUCUGGCGAAUGAAACUGAUAGUGGGUCUCAAUUGCCAUUUGUGUGGAUUCAUACUUGAGUCUUGGGAGUUAAUUGCUUUAAUACCAGUAGCAUUAUCUGAUGAGAUGAGGCAACCAUGUAUUUUCUAGCAUCAUGACUUCAGCCUACUGGUAGCAUUAUGCGAUGAAAUGAGGAGGCGACCAUAUUUUUUCCAGUAUGAUGACUUGAGCCGCAGCAUCAUGCCGAGUAGCCGAAGAAGUAACUACAGUCACUUUUAUUGUAGAUUCGUGUUGGCCAGCUUGAGACUGAAUAUAAACUAAGGUGCAUAGAGAGGGAUCGGUCAUAAUAAGCAUCUGUGUACAUCAUAAUUGUAUUCCUCCGUCGAGUACACAAGAGAGAGGGGUAUGUUGUUUUAGAAGAGGGCAAAAUAUAGUUAAAAGAGGGCAAAAUAAAGCAUGUAGGCUGAUGAAUGUCAAUUUAGACCAUCAUUUUGCAAUUGCUACUUUUGGUUCCAAAGGAUUAACAAGAUAAACUCUAUUGUUUAUAUGACCUUGCACUUAGGAAGUUUACGUUGCAAAUUUUAUCACACUAGCAAUGUUGUGUGCAGAGAUAAUUUGUUUCAGCAAACUUGAUCAUGUGGAGAUUGUUGUGUGCAGAUAUCAGACUUCAGUGGCUAUAAGAAAAACUAAAGCUCUGUUUCCACAGGCGAGUAAAUGCAGCCUGACUGAAGAAUGCAAGCUCUGUUUCCUCAAGCUAUGUAUUAGGUUGCAUAUAUAUAACAAAGUGAAGUCCUCAUCCUGGUUGGUUUGGCAUGGCCACAUCCUCAUGGCCAAUAAGCUGUUGCGCUAGAGAUGGCCAGGCAGUGAGAUUUGCCCGACGUGUGGCUCUUGCGAAGAGACGGCCAGCUUUGCGAGGCAAGUAUGGCCAGGGUGGCCUUUUGGUCAUGAUACCAGGUGUUGUCUCCCCCAGUUCCUAAAACAUCGCUCCCAUCUAUGACUGGUGGAUGGCGAUCAGGUUUCAAAGGAGGAGAAAAAGCAUUUUCAUGGACUCACCUCGUAUGGCGUUAGGAAAAAUUGGAACAUUAAGUCAAUGACACCACAUUCAAGAUAUGAUUUGUUAUAGUUGUUCCGGAUGCAUGGUGGGGGGCUGAGGUUUUGGGCCUCCCUUUUCCCCUCUAUUAGACAAAAUCUACCUGUAUGGGUCUGGCUGUAAAACUAACUUCGACUAACAUAUCCUUGCUUGCGAUGGAAUACAAAUGUAUUUUCUUUAAGCUGUAAUACUAAAAUACUUGUUUUUGCGAUGUAAUAUGGGUAUAGUUGAUUUUUUUGUGCGUGCAUACUCAAGGAUUUCAUGAAUGGAAUAUUGUGUUUUUUCUGCGAUGAAACAACACAUUAUACUUGUAUAAUCAACUUGCUUCACAAGAAUAUAAUUGUAUCUGAUGCAUGAGAUGAAUACGACUCAUUUGUGUAGGGGGUAGAUAAAGCAUAGAGCCACCUCCGAAAUUGCCA